GAUGAACGCUGGCGGCGUGCCUAAUACAUGCAAGUCGAGCGAACAGACGAGGAGCUUGCUCCUCUGACGUUAGCGGCGGACGGGUGAGUAACACGUGGAUAACCUACCUAUAAGACUGGGAUAACUUCGGGAAACCGGAGCUACUACCGGAUAAUAUAUUGAACCGCAUGGUUCAAUAGUGAAAUACGGUUUUGAUGUCACUUAUAGAUGUAUCCGCGCCGCAUUAGCUAGUUGGUAAGGUAACGGCUUACCAAGGCAACGAUGCGUAGCCGACCUGAGAGGGUGAUCGGCCACACUGGAACUGAGACACGGUCCAGACUCCUACGGGAGGCAGCAGUAGGGAAUCUUCCGCAAUGGGCGAAAGCCUGACGGAGCAACGCCGCGUGAGUGAUGAAGGUCUUCGGAUCGUAAAACUCUGUUAUUAGGGAAGAACAAAUGUGUAAGUAACUAUGCACGUCUUGACGGUACCUAAUCAGAAAGCCACGGCUAACUACGUG
rnacentral:rRNA from 1 species